rnacentral:tRNA from 1 species
GUCCCCGUAGCUCAAUGGAUAGAGCGUUGGUUUCCGGAGCCAAAGGCUGCAGGUUCGAAUCCUGCCGGGGAUA